rnacentral:rRNA from 1 species
GAUGAACGCUGACAGAAUGCUUAACACAUGCAAGUCAACUUGAACUUCGGUUUGGGUGGCGGACGGGUGAGUAACGCGUAAAGAACUUGCCUCACAGCUAGGGACAACAUUUGGAAACGAAUGCUAAUACCCGAUAUUAUGAUUAUAUGGCAUCGUAUAAUUAUGAAAGCUAUAUGCGCUGUGAGAGAGCUUUGCGUCCCAUUAGCUAGUUGGAGAGGUAACAGCUCACCAAGGCGAUGAUGGGUAGCCGGCCUGAGAGGGUGAUCGGCCACAAGGGGACUGAGACACGGCCCGUACUCCUACGGGAGGCAGCAGUGGGGAAUAUUGGACAAUGGACCGAGAGUCUGAUCCAGCAAUUCUGUGUGCACGAUGAAGUUUUUCGGAAUGUAAAGUGCUUUCAGUUGGGAAGAAAAAAAUGACGGUACCAACAGAAGAAGUGACGGCUAAAUACGUG